rnacentral:rRNA from 1 species
UACAGAGGGGGCAAGCGUUGUUCGGAAUUACUGGGCGUAAAGGGCGCGUAGGUGGCCUGUUAAGUCGAACGUGAAAUCCCUGGGCUCAACCCAGGAACUGCGUCCGAUACUGGCAGGCUUGAAUCCGGGAGAGGGAUGCGGAAUUCCAGGUGUAGCGGUGAAAUGCGUAGAUAUCUGGAGGAACACCGGUGGCGAAGGCGGCAUCCUGGACCGGCAUUGACGCUGAGGCGCGAAAGCCAGGGGAGCAAACGGG